GGGUCAAUGGCGUACUUGGUUAACGCGUCUGUUCAACUGAUCUUCUUGUUGACAGGAUGUCCUCAGUUCGAGUCUGAGUUGACCGA